rnacentral:rRNA from 1 species
GACGAACGCUGGCGGCGUGCCUAAUACAUGCAAGUCGAACGAACUCUGGUAUUGAUUGGUGCUUGCAUCAUGAUUUACAUUUGAGUGAGUGGCGAACUGGUGAGUAACACGUGGGAAACCUGCCCAGAAGCGGGGGAUAACACCUGGAAACAGAUGCUAAUACCGCAUAACAACUUGGACCGCAUGGUCCGAGUUUGAAAGAUGGCUUCGGCUAUCACUUUUGGAUGGUCCCGCGGCGUAUUAGCUAGAUGGUGGGGUAACGGCUCACCAUGGCAAUGAUACGUAGCCGACCUGAGAGGGUAAUCGGCCACAUUGGGACUGAGACACGGCCCAAACUCCUACGGGAGGCAGCAGUAGGGAAUCUUCCACAAUGGACGAAAGUCUGAUGGAGCAACGCCGCGUGAGUGAAGAAGGGUUUCGGCUCGUAAAACUCUGUUGUUAAAGAAGAACAUAUCUGAGAGUAACUGUUCAGGUAUUGACGGUAUUUAACCAGAAAGCCACGGCUAACUACGUGCCAGCAGCCGCGGUAAUACGUAGGUGGCAAGCGUUGUCCGGAUUUAUUGGGCGUAAAGCGAGCGCAGGCGGUUUUUUAAGUCUGAUGUGAAAGCCUUCGGCUCAACCGAAGAAGUGCAUCGGAAACUGGGAAACUUGAGUGCAGAAGAGGACAGUGGAACUCCAUGUGUAGCGGUGAAAUGCGUAGAUAUAUGGAAGAACACCAGUGGCGAAGGCGGCUGUCUGGUCUGUAACUGACGCUGAGGCUCGAAAGUAUGGGUAGCAAACAGGAUUAGAUACCCUGGUAGUCCAUACCGUAAACGAUGAAUGCUAAGUGUUGGAGGGUUUCCGCCCUUCAGUGCUGCAGCUAACGCAUUAAGCAUUCCGCCUGGGGAGUACGGCCGCAAGGCUGAAACUCAAAGGAAUUGACGGGGGCCCGCACAAGCGGUGGAGCAUGUGGUUUAAUUCGAAGCUACGCGAAGAACCUUACCAGGUCUUGACAUACUAUGCAAAUCUAAGAGAUUAGACGUUCCCUUCGGGGACAUGGAUACAGGUGGUGCAUGGUUGUCGUCAGCUCGUGUCGUGAGAUGUUGGGUUAAGUCCCGCAACGAGCGCAACCCUUAUUAUCAGUUGCCAGCAUUAAGUUGGGCACUCUGGUGAGACUGCCGGUGACAAACCGGAGGAAGGUGGGGAUGACGUCAAAUCAUCAUGCCCCUUAUGACCUGGGCUACACGCGUGCUACAAUGGAUGGUACAACGAGUUGCGAACUCGCGAGAGUAAGCUAAUCUCUUAAAGCCAUUCUCAGUUCGGAUUGUAGGCUGCAACUCGCCUACAUGAAGUCGGAAUCGCUAGUAAUCGCGGAUCAGCAUGCCGCGGUGAAUACGUUCCCGGGCCUUGUACACACCGCCCGUCACACCAUGAGAGUUUGUAACACCCAAAGUCGGUGGGGUAACCUUUUAGGAACCAGCCGCCUAAGGUGGGACAGAUGAUUAGGGUGAAG